rnacentral:tRNA from 1 species
GGGCGAGUGGCCUAGACUGGAUAUGGCAGCAGCCUCCUAAGCUGCAGGUCCGGGGUUCGAAUCCCCGCUCGCCCG